rnacentral:misc_RNA from 1 species
GGGGUUCUGUCACCUGAGGUUGGAUGUUGCCAACGUACACACUGCGGCAUGUACUUGAAUCAAAGCCAGGAGGCAAAUUCCCACUCAAGAUAGGCUCUAUCUGGGGAGCAGCUAGAAGAGCAGGAUGGGGGUACUGCAUUAUGGUCUGUUGCUUCAGCCUCUGAUGCUGCAUCAUCUAUCUACCACUAAAAGAUACGAUCACAGAAACCCCAAAGGGCUUUGGUGUUGGUCGUGAUGAUGAGAAAAAAAAAUAAUAAUUCGAGGGUAAGGGUUUCGGAAAGAGG